GCGCUUACCUCGGGGUGCCUGCCACGCGUUGUGACCGGCUGAGAUGCGAUAUUGCGAACCCGUUGAACCUGAACCGGUUAAGACCGGCGGAGGGAAGGUUUGGAUAAUGGUA
rnacentral:ncRNA from 2 species